UCCNGUUUAGCAUGGUUUGUGCCCAAGC
rnacentral:piRNA from 1 species